rnacentral:lncRNA from 1 species
AAAGCUGUGACGCGACGUCUUCCACACCGUCCGGAUGACAGAAGGUGAGUUUUAAUUCCUCCACGAAUUCGGCAUACGAGAGGGACGCAGAACUGGGGGAACUAAUUCGCGCAGCCGCCCACUCUGCGGCGGAACCACCGAGCCGGGUUAGGAGUAAGGCAAUUCGGGACCGGGCACUGGGGUAGCGGCUAGGCUGUAGCUCAAAAAUCAACGAGAGAGCGGUGAGGAGCACCUCGCCGCUCCCCUCGGUCCCGUUCCAGCGCUCCGGGAGCGGCAAACUGGGUUCGGGAACCGCGGGGGGGCGAGGGCUCUGCGCCACGCUCGCCGCUUCAUGGUCUCGGUGCGCGGCGGUCACUUCCUGAAUGCGCUGCCGCAGGAAGCGAACCUCCUGCGACAGACUUCCAAAAAGAUUCUCCUGCCGCGCUAUCCGAUCGCACAAAGCAGCGAGUUGUGAAGCGCGUAAUUCGGGCUCAGUCAUUCUGACACGCGAACCGGGACCAGAACGAGAGAGACGUGUAGGAGGAAACGAGAGACCUCGGUGCGGUGGGACGCAGGGAGGCAGGCCACUGGAACGGCAGAAUGGGUGAAAAAACAAAAAAAAAACACAACUAACCCGCCCGCCUUGUGUCACUAUGACCACUAAAAGAUUUAUGACGGCCCUCUCCGGAGCCUCUGUGGCGGGGAGGCAGGGGCGGUGAGCCCACACCGAAGCUACAAGAAGACACCCGACCAUGCUCAGCCCCGACAGCCACUGCUGCAGCCACCCCGCCCCCUCUGCCAGCCCUCUGUGUGGGUCAGAGCUGCCAUGCUUCUCUCCUCCUUCCCCAAAUACGGGUUAAACAGGCCGAGCAAUGGACACAGAAGGAGUCCACUGGUACGAACAAGGGCACAAACAGAGCAUCGGUGCACCCAGCCGGUCUGUUAACCACAAAUCCUACAUGCCAGACGUCAGUUUUUGAAUAAAUUUGCUGGUUGUAUUUCCCUCCUGCCUUCA